rnacentral:lncRNA from 1 species
AAGGUUUUAGAAGAUCGUCAACAUAGACAUCAUUCACAAAGCAUAAAAAACUUUCAAACAUUAAAAAAAACAAAAAAUAACUUGUUUAUUCUUACAAUGUUGAACUUGGAGAUUACAUUACUAUGGUAAUUAAGGUUGCCUUAUUGCCGUCCAUUGCACCAUAUUCUUUCUAUGAAAUCGAUCCUGAUUCCAUGACAAUACAAAUGAGCAGUCUCUAUAAAAAAGAGUUGUAUUGAUGUGAUAGACUUACACAAUGAAGACAGAUCGAGACUUGCAUUACUAUGGUAAGGUUGCAUUACUAGUGAUCGAGUUGCCGCUCGUGAUUCCUAAUCAAUUAUUGUUACAAAAUCACACAAAAUAUCGUCGGGAUCAAUUGCUCCUCCAAAUAAGCAGCCACCAAAGGGUGUACUAUGAUUCAACAAGCAUGCAUAGUGUCCAAGCUGCAUGUGUAAAAAUCAAACAGUUUUAGCAUCAAGAUCAACGUAAAUGGGUUUAAAUAAUGUGCAUGCCCAUUUUGAUAAAUCUUCCUCUGGUUCAUUGAUGAGGUUGAAGAGCAAGCGUGUCAGUAUAUGGAAAGAUUUGAUAGAUUUGAUCCAGUUUAUGGAAAGAUUUAAUAGAUUAUGGAAAGAUUUGAUCCAGUGAUAAUUUGGUAAUUUCUGUUAAGUUUGGAGUGUCGGAUUUUGGUAUUUUCGGAGCCUAAUGUUAUUGAAAAUGGGUCAACGAUCAAAAAUCACUAGCACUUUGCUUGUGAACUGUAGGAUUUUGGUCAAAUUCCAUCGUUUAGGCCUCCAAAAUUACAUUUUAUUAUUUUUGGGUUAUUUUUGUAAUUUUUCUUAUUAGUUUUCCUUUUCGGUUUUGGAUUCCGCUUUUAGGGUUUUGUUAUUUAAACGUUUGUUACGAUGGGAAGAAGAAGUUUUUGAUGAAUAAUAGAUUUCUCUUAUUUUUCAAAAUUCUCUGAAUUAGAAUUUUGUUGCCUAUUUUUUGGAAUUCGUAGAAUCAACAGGUUGUAGAAGGUUAUCGUUGGCAAUCGUGCGCGGUUCAACAUUUGAUAACCAUUUAUUCCGCUACGUCAUUUAUGAGCAGCAGCAACAAUCCACCAGUGGUUUUUCGAUCACCAGUUGUUAUGUAGAGUUAUUAUUACCAUCAUCAAAAAGGGUGACAAAGAGGGAGAAAAUGUUUGUUUAUAUAUUUUGUUGUAAUGAUGAUAACAUAUAUUUUGUAUGAAAAUAUUUUGUGAUUUUCAGGUUAUGGACGGAUUUGAUCAUAUACGGUGUUGCUGAAAGUGGAGUUAUAUACACUGAAUUUGUGAAGGCCCAACAUGAAUAUAAAGCUUCGUAGAUUUGCCUACUAGAUCCUAUAUCCUUAAGAAAUCACUUAGGGAAUUAUGUAAGUUUUUUUAGUCGAAAGUUUUAAUUAAAGACACUAUUAAAUUGCUGAAAAUCUGUCUUAUUAAAACAUGACAUGGAUUAAGGAUGUGAUAUUAUGGAAACAGAAUAUAUCAACAAACUGAUUUGGGUGGUACUCUAUUGGCAUAAUCUUAUCAAAUUUGUUUAAGGAUAUCUUUCCCUUUAAUUAAGAUUUUUCAGAUUGUUUUAUUUUGAAGAACAAAAUAUUUGAAAAAUUGACAUUCGUUGUAUUGUGUGGGCCCAAGUGCAAAUUAAGAUUCAUGGGAACGAACACAUUACUUGAUUUACUUUGUUCUUGCUCAAAGAUUGUACUCAUCCAAAUGCAUGAUAUUAAGUGAAGCUUGCACCUUCUGCGUCAUUUAACACUCUUGAACAUAGGAAAGCAAGGUUCCUAAAAUCAAAUGUUUCAGUAAAAGGUAACACAAUCAGUUAAAAUAAUUUACAUACAACAAAGAAAGGUAGAUUCUUGAUAAUCAAGCUACACCCAUCCCAAAAAAAUAGGGUAAACCAAUAAACUCUAAAUUUGCAAAGGCAACAUCAAUUUCACCCCAACCAAUACCCAGAUGUUAACACACACAUAAAAAGCCAAUAAUCCAUAUCAAUUGAUCAAAUUAAUCACCAGAUCCAAGUUAAUAACAACGGAUACAAAAAUCCUAAGUCUUACCUGUAUUAAUCUAGAUAAUAGAUAUCAUACUCGAAACCCAAUUCAUAAUCACAUAAAAGAGGGAUAAGAAACUAAAAACAUACCAAUUCAGAACGAGCGAUUUUGAUGGACACAGAUUCAGAAGCGAGCAUCAAUAAAACCCUUAGAUGUCAACGGCGUGGAGACGUCGAAGAACCCUAGACCAAUCGAAAUGGCGACGACGAUGUACUGAACAGAAAGGCUCUGUCCACACAAAAUAUCAGCUUCUGCUACCAUAUUUCUGAUUCUUGUUUACUAUUACAAUCAACCACAACCCUAAUUUAAGAUAAUUUUCUUCUGGAUUGAUUCUAAAUGCUAUGAGAGAUUUUUUUCGCCGAAACUAUUAUUUGGGGAAUUGCGAUAAUGAGGGUUUUGUUUGUAUUUUGAGUAAUUUAUAAGGGAGAGGCAAUGAGAAAUCAUAUUCAUAUUGGGAGUGUUGCCAUAGACUCAUAGGAAAAAA